rnacentral:rRNA from 1 species
AACGAACGCUGGCGGCAGGCCUAACACAUGCAAGUCGAGCGGUAAGGCCCCUUCGGGGGUACACGAGCGGCGGACGGCUGAGUAACACGUAGGAACGUACCCCAAAGUGAGGGAUAAGCACCAGAAAUGGUGUCUAAUACCGCAUGUGCUCUAAGGAGUAAAGCUUCGGCGCUUUGGGAACGGCCUGCGCAUGAUUAGCUUGUUGGUGAGGUAAUGGCUCACCAAGGCGACGAUCAUUAGCUGGUCUGAGAGGAUGACCAGCCAGACUGGGACUGAGAACGGCCCAGACUCCUACGGGAGGCAGCAGUAGGGAAUUUUCCACAAUGGGCGAAAGCCUGAUGGAGCAACGCCGCGUGCAGGAUGAAUGCCUUCGGGUUGUAAACUGCUUUUAUAUGUGACGAAUAUGACGGUAGCAUAUGAAUAAGGAUCGGCUAACUCCGUGCCAGCCGCCGCAGUAA